CCUACGGGUGGCUGCAGUGAGGAAUAUUGCGCAAUGGGGGAAACCCUGACGCAGCAACGCCGCGUGAGUGAGGAAGGCCUUCGGGUCGUAAAGCUCUGUCAGAAGGGAAGAAGUGAUGGUUAAUACCCAUGUAAUUUGACGGUACCUUCAGAGGAAGCACCGGCUAACUCCGUGCCAGCAGCCGCGGUAAUACGGAGGGUGCAAGCGUUGUUCGGAAUUACUGGGCGUAAAGGGCGCGUAGGCGGCUGGAUAAGUCAGAUGUGAAAGGCCACGGCUUAACUGUGGAAGUGCAUUUGAAACUGUCCGGCUUGAGUAUCGGAGGGGAGUGUGGAAUUCCCGGUGUAGCGGUGAAAUGCGUAGAUAUCAGGAGGAACACCGGUGGCGAAGGCGGCACUCUGGACCAAUACUGACGCUGAGGCGCGAAAGCGUGGGGAGCAAACAGGAUUAGAUACCCUAGUAGUCC
rnacentral:rRNA from 1 species